rfam:Danio rerio chromosome 7, GRCz11 reference primary assembly.
CAAACGGCUCUUUUAAGAGCCACAUACAUAACAGUAAAGAGCAAU